UGCUCAUUGCGCUGGGGCAUUCACUACUGCAUUACAAAGUAAAGAGAGAGAGUUGCUCUUCCUAACUACAAGACGCAUUACAACCUUCUCUAGAGCCGUCCAGCCGUGAAUGCAUCGUGCAGAUCAACGUCCUCAUUGUAUUCCAGUUCAACCACAUGUGGUUGUUUUCCCAACUGUAACACUGUUAUCGGUUGACGGAGUUUAGCCACACCCCUUCUCUGACGCGGUCUCCCCACGCUACAUAAUGCGACCGCGCC